GCAGUCGAACGCUUCUUUUUCACCGGAGCUUGCUCCACCGGAAAAAGAGGAGUGGCGAACGGGUGAGUAACACGUGGGUAACCUGCCCAUCAGAAGGGGAUAACACUUGGAAACAGGUGCUAAUACCGUAUAACAAUCAAAACCGCAUGGUUUUGAUUUGAAAGGCGCUUUCGGGUGUCGCUGAUGGAUGGACCCGCGGUGCAUUAGCUAGUUGGUGAGGUAACGGCUCACCAAGGCCACGAUGCAUAGCCGACCUGAGAGGGUGAUCGGCCACAUUGGGACUGAGACACGGCCCAAACUCCUACGGGAGGCAGCAGUAGGGAAUCUUCGGCAAUGGACGAAAGUCUGACCGAGCAACGCCGCGUGAGUGAAGAAGGUUUUCGGAUCGUAAAACUCUGUUGUUAGAGAAGAACAAGGAUGAGAGUAACUGUUCAUCCCUUGACGGUAUCUAACCAGAAAGCCACGGCUAACUACGUGCCAGCAGCCGCGGUAAUACGUAGGUGGCAAGCGUUGUCCGGAUUUAUUGGGCGUAAAGCGAGCGCAGGCGGUUUCUUAAGUCUGAUGUGAAAGCCCCCGGCUCAACCGGGGAGGGUCAUUGGAAACUGGGAGACUUGAGUGCAGAAGAGGAGAGUGGAAUUCCAUGUGUAGCGGUGAAAUGCGUAGAUAUAUGGAGGAACACCAGUGGCGAAGGCGGCUCUCUGGUCUGUAACUGACGCUGAGGCUCGAAAGCGUGGGGAGCAAACAGGAUUAGAUACCCUGGUAGUCCACGCCGUAAACGAUGAGUGCUAAGUGUUGGAGGGUUUCCGCCCUUCAGUGCUGCAGCUAACGCAUUAAGCACUCCGCCUGGGGAGUACGACCGCAAGGUUGAAACUCAAAGGAAUUGACGGGGGCCCGCACAAGCGGUGGAGCAUGUGGUUUAAUUCGAAGCAACGCGAAGAACCUUACCAGGUCUUGACAUCCUUUGACCACUCUAGAGAUAGAGCUUCCCCUUCGGGGGCAAAGUGACAGGUGGUGCAUGGUUGUCGUCAGCUCGUGUCGUGAGAUGUUGGGUUAAGUCCCGCAACGAGCGCAACCCUUAUUGUUAGUUGCCAUCAUUCAGUUGGGCACUCUAGCA
rnacentral:rRNA from 1 species